UCUCAAGUGAUGCGGCUCACGGCAUCUUCCAGAUUCUCAUGUUGAUUGAUUAGAUGCUUGGGGUGCUGUCAAAUCCUCUAUAGCAUAGCCUAUGCUUGUGUUUCAAUGUUUGCUUAAAAUACAAUUCCUGUCUUAACUAUUUAAAAACAUGCGACUCCUCAUUCAGUUACUUGGGAGUUGGGGACUGUCACGGAAACACCUCUCCAAUGAAAGGCAUGUUCUCAGGAACUGCACCGGCUGUACAGCUCAAAGAAAAUAAAAAGCAGCCCCGACAUCAACACAGAACAGCUGCACAGGUGCCUUAGUCUUUCAGAAGACCUACAUUCAUUUCCCAGUACCCAGUUCACAACUGACUCUGCCCUGAGGUGUACUUCUGUCCAGAUGAGAAGAUGGCUGACAGUGUGGAUGGGUCCUUCAUCUGCUUCAUUCAUAAAUAUGGUGACAUGGAUUUUGCCGGAGACUGCUUAAAACACAGCCAGACUAGAAAUGCUGAGACUAUGGGAUUUCUGGUGGAACAGUUCCCCAAAUACAAUGCCUCCAAUUAACCUCUUGUUAUUACCAACAUGUUACUAUAGCAGAAAUUAUUCUGAUAAAAUGAAGUCUCUAUCUAUCUAUCUAUCUAUCUAUCUAUCUAUCUAUCUAUCUAUCUCCACCUCCAGCCUCCCUCCUCUCCUUGUCACUAUGACCUCAACAAAAUAUACAUUUUUAAAAAUUCAUAGAAAGUGAGACAAUGGAUAAAGAAGUGAAAAUCCAAGCUUUAUUCUCAAAGCCCUAUUAAACUACUGGGGAAUUUAAAGAAGACAGAGUCAGAGUCUAUUCAGAAAUAUCCCUCCAGCAAUGACAUGGAGACUAAAUUAUUAAAAGAGCAUCCUUGGACCAAAAUCAACCAGCAGUUUGCUUAGUAACUUAGGAGAGUAGAAGAGAGAGCCCAAACAAAGACAAUAGUUUUUGUAGUGGUUAAAUAGAAGCCAAGUGAUACUCAUAAUCCCUACACAGAACUUAUUAACAAUAUUUGUAGCUCCGGUGAACGAACACAGGCGAUAAGAAAAGAAUAGUCUCAUAUGAUUCUGUGAUACGAAAUGAGAAGAGGUGUAGAAGUCAACUAACAGACAGUGUAUUUUGAAGAAAAGACAAUGAAGUCAGCAUUGGUUUAAUGAAAUCUGAGUGGGAGGAACAUCUCAGAAGGAGGUCAUGCACAGCUAAAGCACAGAGUUAGGUGAAGGAUGGACUUGGGAGAAGUCACUGAAUCCAUUUUUUUUUUAAUGAGUUCAUCCAGAAGAACAAACAUCAGAAGGGCAGAGCAUUCAGAAUUCUGAGGAACACUAAGGGGUGGGAGAAACAAAGAAUCUGACAAACGUACCAAGAAAUGAGGACAGUGUAAGAUCAUGAGGUCAACGUAUGUCAGUUUGAGGAAAAGAGUGCUCCACAAAGUCAAAUGCCACAGAGAAUGUGGAGAAGAUGCUGUUAGCAGACCUGGAAAUAAGUGGGCCCUGGGGAUUCUCAGGAGAUCACUUUGCAGGUAUGGACAGAGAAUGGAAAGCAGCCUGCCGGGACAGUGAACUUUGAACAAGGAGAUCCUGUGGCUUAGAUGGGACAUUGACUCCUCUCUCCCCACGAGCUCCAUGGAGAAGCUCAUCUGAUAAUGCAGUGUGAAAGGCCAGCUACGUGUGAAUGCCUUCCGAGUGAGCUUCUCUGUGCCAGAUCUCUGUGUGAGAUGGCAUCAAAAGUGCAGUGAUUCGUGAAGUAGACUGCACUCAACACUCAGCAAACUGCCACUCUUUGCACAGGUGAUGCCUUUCUGUGGUUUCCAAGGAAAAUGUCAGAGUUUGCGCUCAUGUUGUGCUCAUGUUCUAAAGUUCUCUUAUUUUCUUAAGUUCACGUGUGUAUGCUGGGGGUUGGGAGACACCUAAUCAUAAACAAGACAAUAAAUUUUGCAGAUUUCAGUCACUUCGGUGGCUCUAGAGUGAAUAGAGGUAUGUGUACACACACAUACACACACGUUCGCAUGUGUGCUCAUAGAGACAUUACAGUGCUUAUAUGCAGAAGGUAAUCAGUUAUUAAACACACAGAGGAGACCCUAUUGAUUAAGUAGCUGGCUGAAAAUGUGUGUUAGACCAAAGCAAAGACAUAAGUUUUAUCGGAAAUACUCUCUUUCUAGAAAAAAGAAUCUAAUAUUUCAGAUUUCUGAGAAGGGGCUGGCAAUCUUUUGUUGUGUUGGAUUAUUUCAAUACUGCCAUUUGCAAAUUCAUCUCCUCAUAAUGGAGAGAGGGUUAAGGAAGUCUGAAGCAGGAUGAGAGAAGCUGAUUAUAGGAAUUCUGCCCAGUGGGAUGGAAGAUGGGUGCGACCAGGUGGAAGAGAAGGCCCAGCUCAAACCUGGGGAAUGGUAAUUACAGAUUGGCAUAGGACUGGCUGUCUAUACAGCAGCAGCUUGGGACUACACUGGCCAUGGAUGAACUAGGACAAUAUAGGAAGAAAGUGGCAAGGCAUGCAACUCUAGGAAAGGCUAGAUAUGAAAGAGAGUAAGGGGAAGGCCAAGUGGGGACAUCAUAGAGGAUCCAAGGACUCCAAAAGACCAAAGAGAAUACCCAGAACAGAAGAGAUCAAAGAACUGAAGGCUGAAUUAGGAGGUCUAGCGGAAGGUAUUAGAGCCCUUCUGAGCACACUUUUCAGAAUCAAAAUAAAUCACCCUGAUCUAUCUUUCAAGGCUUGCACCUUUUUCCUGCAAUUGCUCACUAUUAAAAGAGAUGCUCAGCCUAACAACAAACUCCCUCUGGCCAUUUUGUUCAUCACAGCACAUACCCUACCGUAAAAGAAGUAAGCUUGUCGUCUAUCAACCAUGCUUCCUCAAAGUUUCAGUGGCAAACAUGGUUCUGACUUCUUUGUUGUGACUUGUCGGGUACUUUAGAAUGGCAAACUGGCUGCAGAAAACUACUCAGCUAUUAGGAAAUCAUAAAAUUUGCAGGCAAAUGGAUGGAACUAGAAAAGAUCAUCCUGAGUGAGGUAACCCAGAAAUAGAAAGACACACAUAGUAUAAACUACUUAUAAGCAUAUAUUAGCCAUAUAAUAUAGGAUAAACAUACUAAAAUCUGCAGACCUAAAGAAGAUAAACACUAAGGAGGGCCCCACAGAGGAUGCUUAAAUCUCAUUCAGAAUGGCGAACAGGAUAGACCCUGGAAGCAGUGGAAGAGAGGAAAUAAGAUGGGAGCCUACUCUAGAGGGUCCUCCACCCAACAAGGAAUCAAAGUAGAUGCUGAAACUCACAGCCAAACUUUGGGCAGAGGGCACAGAGUCUCAUGGAAGAAUAAGAGUGGGGAUGGAAGGAUAUGGAGGGGACAGAAGCCCCACAAGGAGAUCAACAAAGCUAAAAAUUCUGAGCCCAGGGGGUCCUGCAGAGACUGAUGCACCAACCAAGGACCAUGCAUGGAGAGGACCUUGACCCCCUGCUCAGUUAUAGCCAAUUGGCAGCUCAGGCUCCAUGUGGAUUCCUGAGUAAGGGGAACAGGGGCUGCCUCUGUCAUGAACUCUGUUGCCUGCUCUUUGAUUACUUGGCCCUGACGACGUGACCUUACCAGGUCACAGAGGAAGGGGAUCCAGGCAAUCCUGAUGAAACUUGACCAGCUAUGGGCAGAUGGAAAUAGUGGAAAAGUCUUCCUUUCAGUGGACGAGGGGAAGGGGAUAGGAGGGAAGAGAGAGGAAGGGUAAGACUGGGAGGGGUCCAGGGACGGGGCUUCAAUUGGGAUAUAUAAUGAAUAAAUUAUGAAAAAAUAAAAAGAAAAAUGAAAGAAUGGCAAAGUGAUAGACAUUUUAGUAUAAUUAAAUACUACCUCUUCCUAUGAGCACAGCAAAAAUAGUGAUAUAGUAAACAGAUGAUUUAAUGUAUCAAUAUUUCCACCACUGUUAACUUCACUUUCCAUCAGAGGCUCAGUAUAUAUGAGUGUUCUUUAGCAUACAAACUGAAUAUUUUAAUGUGUGGCUACAAGAUUAUAGGAUACCAACCAAGUAGCACUGCAGCUAAUUCUUGUUCAACAUUAUUUAUUCAUAAAGAACUUUAAGUCCACUGAUUAAUCCCUUUUCUGACCUCAAAUCUCUUCUAACUAUCAUUGUUUAUUUGUAUUUCAAUUAAUUAGCUAAGGUGCAGAGAGAUAAAGAUUACAGACUUAAAAGCCAACCAAGUCUAUGUUCCUCAGUCUUUUUAACUUCCAAGUUAAAAAUUACAUUCAUAAUCUUAAUAAUAAUACUUUAAUUAGGUACAUGCAUACCGUUUGGUUUAAAAAUGUAUUUCUUGUUGUUCUGUCUACCUUUUUCAUCUGACCAUCACACAUCAUUACUCACUGCGCUCUACACAAAGGUUAAAAUGUGGAAGUAUAUGAUAGAACAAAGCAAGCAGCCAAAACCAUCCAAGCCAUCCUUGCUCCCAACUAAUAGUCAUUAUUGAACGCUCUGCUUAUUCUUGUUUAGUUGUUAACAUUUUCCUUUUUAUUUAUUUAUUUUUAUUUUUACAAUUUAUUCACUUUGUAUCCCACCUGUAGCCCCCUCUCCCCUCUCCUGUCCCCACCCUAUUUUACCCUCCCUCCCUCUUCUCCCACCAUGCCCCUCUCCCAGUCAUUUAACAAGUAUCUUCAUGAAAAUUUCUAAUGCUAAGGAGGGACUCUUUCAAAAUUCACCCCUCCUGAGUUAUUUUCUGUAAGGUAAAUGUGUACAAUUUAUUUAUACAGACUACUAAAAUAGUCUUAAAAGCAUAAAUGAUGUGAAUUAUCAAGAUGCUCACUGAAACAGUCUGAAUAUUGAUGCUACAGUUUGUUGAGAACAUGUGAUAUUUAAAUGCAUAGCCCAAUGCCCCCUGAUAGCAUGCUUUAUAGUAAGAAAUUUUAUAUAGCUGUCUCUUUCACUCUAGUCAAAGGCUUUAUUGCUAAGAACAAUUACUCAUAAUAUGACCAGAAAACAUAAAGUAAAGCCAAUGUAAGCUUCCUGUCCCGUGAUCAAUCACAAAUUUAAAAAAAUUAGCAUGGUAAAUUAAGUGACUCUAACAUAGAGAAAAUAUGAGUGUUAGGCUAUCUGAAGAAAUGUGUCAUUCUUUUAAAGUCUUUGCAAACUUUCUGCCCCUAACUUUUAUCUAAACUUACCGUUGAAUUUAUUUUUCUUUGUGGUACAUGAGAUAACAUCUAAAUCCUGAACAUUUACAAAACAUUUUCACAUGAAAAGUAAGAAUCUGGGGGGAGUUCGGGAACAGCACAUAAAUAAUUCUUCCUAACAAUAACAGGAUCUUCAGAUUCUCAAUGUAAAUACAUUAGGCUACUCAACCAACAUAAACCAGACUUUAUAAAAAUAUGCUUAGAGCAGACAAUAACCUCAUUAUGUCUUCUCCAUAAAAAUCCAAGACCAUAAUAUACGUAUAAAUCAUUCUUUCCAUUUUUACAGUGUUAUUUUUGUCUUGCCCAAGUUUGGAAGUUCAUUACCAAAUCAAGUUUCUGAAGGGACAUUAUAAUUGAUACCUAAAAUGGCUUCCUUUAAAACUAGCUCAAAUAGUAAGUUCAGCCAAAUUUUCUUGCCUCUCAUAAAAAUUUCUAUUCAGUGUUUUGUUUUUGUUUUCUCUCAUAAAUUCUCUCUAGAAGGACUGUCACUACUGGCAAGGUCAACUCUGUUUACAAUAAAAACAUUGCUAAUUAAAUUGGUUACAAGAUAUCUAAGAAGACACUGUCAGAUGUCUAUCAUCAAUGCUUCAGAAAGACAGCUGAGAUGAGGCUUUCUUAGGAUGCUCUAAAGUUGGAAUAAAGUUUCAGUCUUAUUGAACUCUAUGUGCAUCAAGAAAAUGUGAUUGUGUUGUAGCCUAUAAAUACAUUGCCAACUCUAGCUAUCACUGAGACAUCUCAGUCUAGGAAGUCAAACACUGUAGCAUGUCACUUUCAAACUUCUCUCCCUGGGCCCAGGGAAAUAAGUGCAGAUUUUGAAUAAAGUUAUUUAAAGUAGAUUCUGGUAUACAGCCACCCACUUCCUCCUGAGUCAAAUUUAUCUGUUCGAAUGUCUCCAGUCAAUCUGACCACUUCAACCUGACAGGCAAGCCAACCAAAUCAGCAAUCAGCAGGCCAAAAAAAUCUGUCAAAACCGUUGCCUUCAGUGGUGAUUACAUUUUGACUGACUUGAGCGGGCAAGUUAAUCAAAACAG